GAGCAACAGAAUGCGCAUCAGAAAAUAGAUCCGCUCGAAUACUGGAGGGUUAAUGAAGUUCAAUUCAGCAAUCUUGCGCAGUGCGCGUUAAAAUAUUUAUGUAUACCUGCGACAUCUACUGACUCGGAAAGGACUUUCAGCAAGGCAGGACAAAUCGCGGACGAAAAGAGAUCUCGACUUAAACCUAAAACUUUGAACAUGCUGUUGUUUUUACAGAAAAACCAGUGGAUUAUUAGUUAAGAUAUAGAUAUCGAUUAGAUAAGUAAGAUAAGUAAGAACUGAACUGAACUGAACUGAACUGAACUGAAGUGAACUGAACUGAAAUAAUGUGAUUCCAUUUUUCUUUAUGAUUUCGUUAAAAUAUGUAUUAAGAUUAUGCUUUUUUAUUUGUUUCUGAAAAUAUUGUUGUUGUUUUGUUUGAAUAAAUAUAAGUUUAUAAUAA